rnacentral:rRNA from 1 species
GAGGUCCAGCCUGCCCGGUGACAAGUUUAACGGCCGCGGUACCCUAACCGUGCGAAGGUAGCAUAAUCACUUGUUCUUUAAAUAGGGACUAGUAUCAACGGCAUCACGAGGGUUACACUGUCUCCUUUCUCCAAUCAGUGAAACUGAUCUCCCCGUGAAGAAGCGAGGAUAAGACUAUAAGACGAGAAGACCCCAUGGAGCUUUAAGCUCAACAACAACUCCUAUGAAAAUAACUCAUAAUAGUACAUGAUACCUGUUUGUUAGCUUUAGGUUGGGGUGACCGCGGAGUAUAAUUUAACCUCCACGGCAAACGGGUUUUAAACCCUAAUCCAAGAGCCACUGCUCUAAGAAUCAUCAUAUUGAUGCAAAAUGAUCCGAUUUUCGAUCAACGAACCAAGUUACCCUGGGGAUAACAGCGCAAUCCAUUUCUAGAGCCCCUAUCGACAAAUGGGUUUACGACCUCGAUGUUGGAUCAGGGUAUCCUAGUGGUGCAGCCGCUACUAAAGGUUCGUUUGUUCAACGAUUAAAACCCUAC